GACGAACGCUGGCGGCGUGCCUAAUACAUGCAAGUAGAACGCACAGUUUAUACCGUAGCUUGCUACACCAUAAACUGUGAGUUGCGAACGGGUGAGUAACGCGUAGGUAACCUGCCUGGUAGCGGGGGAUAACUAUUGGAAACGAUAGCUAAUACCGCAUAAUAUUGAUUAUUGCAUGAUAAUUGAUUGAAAGAUGCUAUUGCAUCACUACCAGAUGGACCUGCGUUGUAUUAGCUAGUAGGUGAGGUAACGGCUCACCUAGGCGACGAUACAUAGCCGACCUGAGAGGGUGAUCGGCCACACUGGGACUGAGACACGGCCCAGACGCCUACGGGAGGCAGCAGUAGGGAAUCUUCGGCAAUGGACGAAAGUCUGACCGAGCAACGCCGCGUGAGGGAAGAAGGUUUUCGGAUCGUAAAGCUCUGUUGUAAGAGAAGAACGGGUGUGAGAGUGGAAAGUUCACACUGUGACGGUAGCUUACCAGAAAGGGACGGCUAACUACGUG
rnacentral:rRNA from 1 species